rnacentral:rRNA from 1 species
GGGAGGCAGCAGUGAGGAAUAUUGCACAAUGGACGAAAGUCUGAUGCAGCGACGCCGCGUGAAGGAAGACGGCCUUCGGGUUGUAAACUUCUUUUGUAAGGGACGAUUGUGACGGUACCUUACGAAUAAGGGCCUGCUAACUACGUGCCAGCAGCAGCGGUAAUACGUAGGGCCCGAGCGUUGUCCGGAUUUAUUGGGCGUAAAGAGUAUGUAGGCGGUUUUGCAAGUCGGAUUUUAAAUCCCCAGGCUUAACUUGGGUAUUGGAUUCGAAACUACAAAACUACGAGGAUAGCAGGGGCAAGCGGAAUUAGUGGAGUAGCAGUGAAAUGCGUUGAUCUCACUAAGAACACCAAUGGCGAAGGCAGCUUGCUAGGUUAUCUCUGACGCUGAGAUACGAAAGCGUGGGGAGCGAACGGGAUUAGAUACCCCAGUAGUCCG